UGACAUUCCUUGACAUUCAUAAAAUAGACAACCGUUUUUUAACAGGAGGCAGCAACAGAACAUGGCUUUCCAGGCCCUGUCCUACUGUAUAUGCCACAUGUCAUUGUAACUUCUCCACCUGAAAUCUACAUGCUUGACCUUUGACCUGCUACACUCUAAUUAAGUAGUGUUGUGGUGAGUAGAUAACCCAUUAAAACAACAAGAAAUGAAACGCUUCAGUUAAACAAGCUUACAUUUAGCCUUUAAAGUGCAACUACACAUGCAGAAUUAAACUAAAAAAAACACGUUAAAAACCAUUGUGGGAAGGAUUAUGUACAUGGUUUCUGUUCCUGUCGGACUGAUGAUCACAUGGGUUGGGACAGGAAGUGCGGUGGCAAAGCUCAGGAAGAUACGCCCUCUGCUCCCCGGCUGUGAGCAGCAGGAACUUCCUGUUUAGAUAUCAUCAUUCAAAUGUACAAUUCACACACAUGAAUCUGUGAAUAAAUUCUUGUUAUUGUGGUUUAA